CAGCUCCUGUAGGAGUCCGGAUGGAGUCUAAUUGUAGUUGAAGCCCGUCGUUGUUCCUUCACAUUUUCCUCCUUCUCCUUUUCCCCCUUUUCUCUCUUUUUUCCCUAGGCAAGGGUUCUCCCUAGCUUUUUAUGGAGUCGCGGUAGUGUAGAAGGGUCAUCGAGGAAGUUUUCUUCUUUCUUGCCAGGUCUCGGACGGUCGGACC
rnacentral:lncRNA from 1 species